UCUGUAGGAAUCCACGAUUUCAGCUAGCUUCGAGGUAAUUCUUAAUUUCGCCGGAAGAAUCACCCGGUUUCCCGAGUCGCAAUAUCCCCGUCUGGGAGAGGAAACGGCGAGCGAAAUUAGCGGGUGGCUUAGCAAACACGAGAAGAAAUCGAACGAAACUGGUCGCGAGAGAUAAUGACGACGGUAGAAACGGGGACAGUGGACCGAGAUACGGCAAAACAUCUGUCGCGAUAAAAAUUCCAGCGGGUAGAUAACGGAGCGCACUCUUGACCACAAUAACGGGGAAAAAUAGAAGAAAUUAAUACGCCGACGAAAGACGCCGGGGAACUCGCGGGGCUUUCGAGUUCCGUCGUGCUUGUCGUUGUUCUCAGUGUAAUUCCGGUGUUUGUACGGAUUACUUCGUCCGUGAACCCUCCAGGUCCUGUUCCGAGGAUAUGGCCAUUGAGAGUCGUUUUUACCUGACCUGGGGCUUUCUAUUGGUCGCCCUAAUGUGUUUCUCCGAGGGGACAUUCAUCCUGGAGGACUCGAUUGUUUUAAACAAGAUAAAAGACGUGGUCAAAGGCACGAGUGAAAAAAUCGUGAACGGCACAAUGACGGGGAUUAAUUCGUUUUUUGUGAUACCAUGGAUGACGACGACGACGACGACGACGACGACGACGACGACGACGACAACGGAGGACCCUAUCGAGACCGAGACGGAUACGGUGCUCUUUAAGAGUAUUAUAGAUGCUCCCCGCAGGUGUCGUUUCGUUAAUGGAAGGUGUCGCACGCCGAUCGCAUGAUGCUCAAGAAGAAUUUAUCAUACCGUGUAACUUUAAUUGAUGAGAAAAGAAAAAGAAGUGGAAUCCUUGUCGAUAACAAACUCGGGAAAAAGUGGUCCAAACUAAGAGGAAAUAAAUCUAUCAAUUGCAUUCCUGUAGCAUUUUGUACUGAAAACCCAAUUUCGUUUGAAAAUUGUUCCGUGAAUUGCAGAGUACAAUUAAUAUUGAUCGGUUAUAAUUAAUACAUAUUGGAGCGACACGAAUUCAUAAAUAGAUAACUCUAUUAUUUAUUCGAAGCCCGUAGAGAAGUUAAUAUUAGAUUGUACGAAAUGAAACUUUAACUAUGUAAAACUAUUUUUAACGAAACAUUGUACGUUUAAUUAAAAUAAUUUUCAUAUAA